CCAUCGCGGUUAUACAAAAUAUGUGAAUAAAUUUUAUUAGUUAUUAGUUAAAUGAUUUAUUUAAAUAAAAAAUAAAUUAUUAUUUUAGGUUAAAUUUGUACAAUUGAUUUAAUUUUAUUAAAAAAAUAUUGAAGCUAAGAAAUUCAAAUUAUAAACUAGGAUUAGAUACCCUAUUAUUUUGAAUGUAAUUUUUAAUAUUUAGGUAGUAAUAGAUAUAUUCUUGAAACUUAAAAAAUUUGGCGGUAUUUUAGUCUAUUUAGAGGAACCUGUAGCAUAAUCGAUAAUCCACGAUUAAUUUUACUAAAUUUUAUAUAAUUUGUAUACCAUUGUUAUAAGAAUAUCUUAAAAGAGAAUAAUUUUCUAUAAUUAUAAUUAUAAUUUAUUUCAGAUCAAGGUGCAGUUUAUGAUUUAGUGUUUAUGGGUUACAAUAGUUUUAAGUAUACGGAUAAUUAUUUGAAAAUUAAUAGUUUGAAGGUGGAUUUAAUAGUAAAAUAAAUUAAGUAAUUUAUUUGAUUAUAGCUCUAAAAUAUGCACAUAUCGCCCGUCGCUCUCUCUUUUAAAGGGAGAUAAGUCGUAACAUAGUAGAUGUACUGGAAAGUGUAUCUAGAAAGAU
rnacentral:rRNA from 1 species